rnacentral:piRNA from 2 species
GACAGGAACAUGCAAAUCCCAUUUGAGGAGC